rnacentral:tRNA from 1 species
UCCCUGGUGGUUCAGUGGCUAGGACUCUGCGAUCCCAAGGCAGCAGGCCUGGGUUCAAUCCCUGGUCAGGGAA